GAUGAACGCUGGCGGCGUGCCUAAUACACGCAAGUCGAGCGAACGGACGAGAAGCUUGCUUCUCUGAUGUUAGCGGCGGACGGGUGAGUAACACGUGGAUAACCUACCUAUAAGACUGGGAUAACUUCGGGAAACCGGAGCUAAUACCGGAUAAUAUUUUGAACCGCAUGGUUCAAAAGUGAAAGACGGUCUUGCUGUCACUUAUAGAUGGAUCCGCGCUGCAUUAGCUAGUUGGUAAGGUAACGGCUUACCAAGGCAACGAUGCAUAGCCGACCUGAGAGGGUGAUCGGCCACACUGGAACUGAGACACGGUCCAGACUCCUACGGGAGGCAGCAGUAGGGAAUCUUCCGCAAUGGGCGAAAGCCUGACGGAGCAACGCCGCGUGAGUGAUGAAGGUCUUCGGAUCGUAAAACUCUGUUAUUAGGGAAGAACAUAUGUGUAAGUAACUGUGCACAUCUUGACGGUACCUAAUCAGAAAGCCACGGCUAACUACGUGCCAGCAGCCGCGGUAAUACGUANGUGGCAAGCGUUAUCCGGAUUUUAUGGGCGUAAGCGCGCGUAGCGGUUUUUUAGUCUGAUGUGAAAGCCCACGGCUCAACCGUGGAGGGUCAUUGGAAACUGGAAAACUUGAGUGCAGAAGAGGAAAGUGGAAUUCCAUGUGUAGCGGUGAAAUGCGCAGAGAUAUGGAGGAACACCAGUGGCGAAGGCGACUUUCUGGUCUGUAACUGACGCUGAUGUGCGAAAGCGUGGGGAUCAAACAGGAUUAGAUACCCUGGUAGUCCACGCCGUAAACGAUGAGUGCUAAGUGUUAGGGGGUUUCCGCCCCUUAGUGCUGCAGCUAACGCAUUAAGCACUCCGCCUGGGGAGUACGACCGCAAGGUUGAAACUCAAAGGAAUUGACGGGGACCCGCACAAGCGGUGGAGCAUGUGGUUUAAUUCGAAGCAACGCGAAGAACCUUACCAAAUCUUGACAUCCUUUGACAACUCUAGAGAUAGAGCCUUCCCCUUCGGGGGACAAAGUGACAGGUGGUGCAUGGUUGUCGUCAGCUCGUGUCGUGAGAUGUUGGGUUAAGUCCCGCAACGAGCGCAACCCUUAAGCUUAGUUGCCAUCAUUAAGUUGGGCACUCUAAGUUGACUGCCGGUGACAAACCGGAGGAAGGUGGGGAUGACGUCAAAUCAUCAUGCCCCUUAUGAUUUGGGCUACACACGUGCUACAAUGGACAAUACAAAGGGCAGCGAAACCGCGAGGUCAAGCAAAUCCCAUAAAGUUGUUCUCAGUUCGGAUUGUAGUCUGCAACUCGACUACAUGAAGCUGGAAUCGCUAGUAAUCGUAGAUCAGCAUGCUACGGUGAAUACGUUCCCGGGUCU
rnacentral:rRNA from 1 species